AGUUACUUCCUGGACAACCUUUCACACUCGCAAUAGCAUCACUCCCCUGGACACGGAUCUCCAUUUGCUCCUCAACAGCUCACUCUUUUUUAUCCAUUCGUGCAUUACUCCACCUGCAAACAAUGCCUGUAGAGGCUACGCCUACACUUGAAGCCACUGAAGGGUUUGAUGGCAGGGGUGAGGCAAUGUAACUGUUAUGAAUUAAACUUGUAACAGCCCAACUCAAUCUAUACUUGUCUUGUACGGUUAAGAUUGUUUUUGUAUUCAUCAGUUUUAUUUGCUUCUCUUUAUUCAAUGUCAUUUAUCAUAACAGCGCAGAGUUUACAAACUGCUUGUUCUGACCAAAAACACCUGGCUUGAGUUACGUUUAUCUUCAAUACAUUUCCAUAAACACACCAUACGUAAAAACACAAAAGGUGACCCGUAGCGGCACACAUAAGGUAACAAUACAAAAAUGGGUCCCACAGUGCCGCUCCACCAUCAACUCUCACACCACUGUUUCACUUGCCAAGCUCCGGCAGCCACAGAUCAUGUUACUGUUCCCUCUAGUAUGAACUACCGUAGUCCAUGUUCAUAGCAUUUUGCUCCUAGUUGUAGAACUCAAAGUUAACAUUCACGCAUUCUAGCCUUGUUUUUAAUUUUACCUUUUGCGUCACAUACACAUACUUGUCUGUUUUUCUAUUUUAUUACUAUAUUUCUAUUUCUAUUGUACAGCACUUUGGUCUACCAGGUGUGUUUUUAAAGUGCUAUAUAAAUGAUGAUGAUGAUGAUGGUUAUGAUGUAAAGAACGUUUUCUGUUAACUUCACUCUGAGCCUGCGCUCGAAUCUGCUCCUGAGUACACUUCAUGUUUCUUGUUGUUUAAGGAAGAGAGUUCGAUUACAGUGAUACGAUAGUUGUAGGACAUACCCUGCUUGCUGGUGUUUUUUCGUGGACAAACUUGGACUGUAUUAGAAAUCUAAACAUUACUGUGAUCCUACAAAGACAAAAAUUUAAAUUAUUACUUUCAACAGGUUUAUAUAUUUAAAUAAAUCAAAAAUUCCAUGUUAGUCUUCUGAAAAUUGUGACUGAGCACUUUUGGAAACACUCUGUCACAGUAUUGAGACUGUGAACGGUUACAGAAUACAUCUGAAAUAAAUGUCAGAUUCUAACAGGUUAUAGUUCUGUUAAUAGAGCUUUUGAAUCUACUCUUCAUACAUAUUCCUGUCUUUAAUAACAGUAUGUCAACGAUGUCAACCAAUAUUUUCAUAUUUCAAACACACACCCAAGUUAAAAAUUUGAAUAUCCAUGUCUUCUACUCUGCAUAUCUGAAAAAUCAGUUUUGAUAAUGUUACAAUUCCAUUGUGAAAUGUUCCCAUCUAUGUUAUUCAUCUUUUUUUAUUUUAAAUGCUGUCAUUAGUUUUUAUUUUUUUCCAACUUAUUAAAAAAAUGAACAUGGUCUACAUUGUUUUGUUCAAUUGAAUAAAACAACAUUUUUGUAUUGUACUCUGGGUUCUUGAAGACCACGCUGUCUUUUAACUUUAUUCUUUAUUUUCUGCAUAUACUGUUCUUUACUCUUUGAGGCUGUUCUCCUGCCAUUCUGUGUUCCUAGUGCAAAGUCUGCAUUUCUGUGUCCUAUCUUUAGUUGGUUACUGCUUUAUAUUGUUGACGUCUAGUCUUUUGUGCACUUGCUUUUGCUUCCACUGGUCAUACUUGUUUGAUUCAAUUCACCUGUGUCUUGUUUCUCCCAGCUGCGUCCUCUCUCCCUAAUCAACUUGCGCAAGUAUUUAAGCCCUCAGCUUUCCUCAGCUCCUUACUCUGUUGUUCUGUUUCAAGUUGUACACUUUGUUUGUCUACCUUGUGGCUUCCUGUGCGUUAGUUUUGGAUUCUUGGAACUUUUUAAAAUAAUCAAUAUUAUUAUCUCUCUUCACUGCGGAUUUGCCACACUCAUAUUUAAGGUCAGUUUUCAGUUCAUGGGGUUUGUCUUUCAGUCUGCAGUGUCGGGUUUACUGAUAGCUUAACAGUCUCAUUUGGCUCUUUGUAUACACCACUGUAUUACUAAAUCCUGGUAUUGUAGAUAGAACUAUACAUGCAUUUAAAAAGGCACAUGCGUGCUUAUCAGGGUGGACAUCAAAAGCUGAAAAUUCGGAACAUCUGUCACGAUCUAAUUCAGAUGAGUUUACUGAAAUUGCAACUUGGUGUUGCACUAUGACUUCAUGGUUUGACAGUCUGUUAAUCCCGUUUACUAGAAAAAGGCUCUUGGGAUAAUUACUCGGCUGUAGAGUUAAAUCUAAUAUUAAUAUUAAUACGUGGCUCUAAUAUUAGAGCCACAUAAUUGAGCAUGCGACGUAAAGUCACGUGGGCAUGCUGCGUGAGCCAUCGAGUCUAAAGUUUUCGUUUGCGAAUUGAAGCGGGUGCUCUCCAAUCAUCAAAAGCAACAAAGUCAUUGAACACAUUUAUAUAGUUACCUUUACGUUUACCUACCAUAUAUCACAGAUUUACUUUUUUUUUUUUAGUACUAUGCAAAAAAAGCAACCACAGAGCGACAGUCUGGGUCAAUGGUGGCCGAGGCGACGGCAAGGCUAAACAAAGCAUCGAAGCGUUAGGCUAGCUCUGUAACGGAAUAUAACAAAAGUAUGAGUUCUUUGUUUCUUUAUAUUAACGAACUUUUUACUGUACUGAAAAUAAGGAAUAGAAGAAAAUUCAUUCUUACCUUAUAAUAAUCGUGGUGCAGGCCAGUGCAGUGCAUGAACUUAUAUGCCUUCUCCAGUGAAUUCCGCUGAGAGUAAAUGUAAUGUCCCGCUCUACUGUACAAGACUUGUGAAUGGCUACCUGAAGGGAUGUACCACUGUGAGGGGGGGGUGCUAGGAAUAGUCCAAGUGAUCGCUGCUUUAAUUUUCCGGUCAACUACACAUAAAUUGCAAGUAGACAUGAUUUUAUUAAAGCUGGUGAACUGUAACUAGACCAGAAAUCAGUCAUAACAAAAGAACAUUCAAUCUAUUUUCUCCGGUACUUUAUACCCGCUCAGUUGCAAUGCAAUUUAACGCUCAACUACAAAUCAAUGGCUUUUUUUUAUGGUGACCUGUAGGGAUUUACCACUGUGAAAGAGGCUCUUUGGAUGAUCGCAGCUUUGAUCUCUGGUCAUCUAUAAAUAGACGUUGUUUCUUUUGUUUGUUGUAGACUUAAAAUAUUCCAUCCUCUAGAGGCAUAAAAAUAUAUUUUAUCAAAAGAUUCAGUGACUGGAGAAAUCUCUUUGCAGAAACAAUGAGGCUAAAAGCCAUGAUGUCAGUGAUCUUCAAACGCUCAUAGGAAAGUUAUCAUCAUGGAGCAUUAAACAGACACGAUUCUGUCCUGGAAAUCAGUGCAUUUCCUGUAUCCUUUGGGGCAACAGACCAGAGUCACACUUUUAGAGAGGUGCCUGAUGAGGUGGACUGAGAGGAAUAUCCAUGAUGCAUGGCAGUUUGUUCACUCACUUCCUCUCCACCACAGCUUCCGAAGCGCGGCCAAUCACAGAGCUUGCUCUCCUGAUCCAAGAAGAACACAUCAAAGUGCACUGCACUCACCUGAACUGACAGAACACCUGUCAUUAACAUUUUGGUGCACACACAAGCUUGCUCACAAAAAAAAGCCUGCCCAUCCACUGCUUGUGUACAGCCUCUGUUUUGAUCUUCCAGUUCAGCAAAUGUAUAAAUGUGGGUGUCCAGGUAUUUGUAUUCCUCCACCACAUCAUAUCAGCGGGUUCAGUAUCUUAUACUUUUGUCAAGAUAAUCCACACUGCAGCCGAUUUGUAUCUACAGUUACCAGAAAGAAGCCAUAACCAAGUUACAUGGAUUCUUUUUUAUUUUAAUUACUUUAUGUCAUACAGGUAAACUAGUUAUGUUAUGUGCAACGCUGUCAUGUGCCACUCUCUGUUUCAAAUUCAUGUAAGACAUCCAGAGUACUCUGAUGACAUUGACAAGGACAACUCCAGUUUACAUGGGAAACAAUUAUUUCAUGUUUUUGAGAUUAUUUAUUUACAUCACUUUUCAGAAAACGUACAUACAGGUCUGAUUCAAAACUGCAUAUCUAAUUUUAAUGCAUGUUGAUGGGGCAAAAAUAUUCCUGAGAUACUGUUAACAUUAUUAAAUUUGAAGGCUAUUAUACAGUGGUAUUACUUUAAACUGAGUAAAACGGUAUUUUGAUAAAAGUUAAGGUCUCCGUUUGUUUCAGAAAAAGCAUUCUGUCAUUUAUUUGCUUUUAUUAUUUAUUCAUAUGCCUUCCGUGGACCAUCUCGGCACUGCGUGGGUGAUUGGUGGCUCCGUGCACACUAAGUGCUGCACACAGGGACAAGGCGCACUAAUUACGAUCAGAUCUUCCCUGGGCAGGGGGAGGUGAUGAACUGUAUGCCACUUUUUCAUUGGCAUACAUUAAGUACAAUGUUUUAUUGCCUACGGUGGGGCAGGUCACAUACUGGGUGAAGGUGGUCAGUGUGGAGUCCAGCGAGACAUGAUUAAAGUCCCCUGAUAUUAGAAGAAGAGCUCUCGGAGAUUGCGUCUGCGGACCACAGAGAGUCACAGGCUGCCUCCACGGAUGCUAACGGCUAAUAGCUCAAUGUCUCUGUUGCAGAGUUGUUCUUUCACAGCAAUGUGCCCAGGGAUACCACAACCGUCUUUAACAAACACUGCCCAGUCCCCCUCCUUUCCUCUCACCGCUGUCUCUCGUCUUGUCCGGCCGCAGCAGCUGGAAGCCGGGCAGCCUACUCACA